CAAGAAGUAGCUUACACAACAAAAGCAUUCAACUUACAAUUGAAAUACGUUCAUCAUGAACCUUCCUGA
rnacentral:tRNA from 1 species